UUUAUUUUGACAGAUUAGUGUGAUAAAUUUAGAAUUUAUUAAAAUGUAUUAAUUAUACUUAAAUAAAA
rnacentral:tRNA from 1 species